CUUUGUGCACUUCAAACACUUUUCAUCACGAAACCACAAAUGUUGCUCUCUUUUCUGCCGUCUUUUUUUGCGGGUCUAAAAGUUUUGCUUGCGAGUGAAGCUGUCUCUCAGUGGGCGGUCUCUACCCACCAGGAUGAAAGGCCUUUUUCUAUUGGUCACUCUCGAUUGAAGUCACAGGUCGACCACGCCCACUACUUUCCCCCGGAAUCCCCGCCAGUCUGACAGAAGAGCGAGCGAAGCUGUAUCAUGGCGAGCAACAGGUCGUUUAUUGGGAAGAAGAUUUGGUGUUGAUAGAGGAGGCAACAUCUUCAAGGCAAAACCUUAGACCUCAUUCAACAUCAUCCAAUGUUGCAAUCCCCCUCAGGAGUGAGGAGGAUGUGAUUGGUCAUGCAGCAGCACAGAUAAACACCACAAAGACAUCUGAAAUCUGUCACGAGGUAACACGUCUGAAGUUGUGGAAACGUCAAAAACAGGAAGCCCUGUCUGUCCCUUGAAAAUCACCUUCCUUGGAGAGCCUGUAAAAA